AUUUUUUUCCUUUCAUUUUCCUUUUUUUUUUCCUUUCCUUGUCCUUUUCUUUUCCUUUUCUUUGUCUUAAAGCAACUUCUAACUUCAAAGUAAAGCAACUUCUGGAUUAUUGCACAUGCACUGACAGAACAAAUAGAAGCUGUUUUCCAGAUGAAGAAAUCUAUGUGGGAUAUGUUAAAUGCCACUUCUCUGGCAUGUGCUGAUUCAGUGGGCUUCCAGCAUCAGCACUGGGAAACUUCAAACUGAGCCAAUGCCUCUGAAAUUAAUGGGUCUUGUUCCACUGACCGAGGGUGGCCCUGGCUGCACCGUGUGCCUUGUGCAGACCUGCAGACUGAGAAGCACUGAGCUGUAGCCCACAUUUACGCAUCUGAGCUUCAUUGCUUCAGCCAGUCCCGUGACAAAACCAGGUCAGCUAAGGGCCAGCCUGAAUGCCUGGGGAUUUCUGAACAUCCAUUGGCACUCCAGGAUUUAUGGACACCUGACUAUGCUCAGCCUAUGACUACAACUUCCACAGCAUUGCUGUCCAUUGAAGGGACCCACAGUGACUCCGGUGUUCCAUAUCACCCCAUAGCAUCCCCCAGAGCUCUCCCUGUGUCUGUGCUGAUUGCAUCCUCCAUGAUGUAUUGGGCAGAUGAUGCUGCUGAAUGUGAGCACCAACUGCUCUGUGGCCUGGGGUCAGUGGUGGGACAGGCAAUGAUCAUAGAAUCAUAUAAUCGUGAAGGCUGGAAAAGACCUUUAAGAUCACCUUGUCCAACUGUCCACCUGCCACCAAUAAGUAAUGCAUUUUCUCUCUCAAACUUGGCCUUCUGCAUCUUCACGCUGUUACAUGGCUGUUUAUUUGGUUCUCUCCCUGUCCAGCAUGUCUCCUUCAUUUGAUGGAAGUGGAAAGAUGGAGGUCCUUUUUGGGAAGAUGAAGACCAUGUUGGGCUGUAUCUUGGAAAGCACCUGAGCAUUAGGGACACACUGCCUCAUCAGUCAGUAUGGAAGUGUGUACUUAUGGCUUUGUUUGCCAGCAGCCCUCUACACCGAUGCGUAGGUGAAGACUUGGUCCAACCCAUGGUGCUCAUCUCACUCUGAGGCCGAUCACAUUGGUGUGAGUCAGCUGCGAAUGUCUCUCCAUGGUGAUGAAGAUCUCACACCCAUCUUCAGUCAGCGGUAGAGAAAGUUGUUGAUGCUGGUGUUUCUGGAAUUUCAGUGUUAAUACCAUAAGCUCAUUAAUUGUACUGGGCUGAUGGUUAUGUGUUUUUGUUGAAAACCUAGCAGGAACCUUCCAAGUCAAGGCUCAAGAAGGUGGAAAGAAACUUGGUGGUUUAUUCUUAUUAGCCUUAGUCAAUACCGAAUUGAAGCUGGAGUUGAGGUGGCUGAGGUUAUUUGUAUGGAACGUUUUCUUAGGUCUGACUGCUUUAAUGUGCUGGGGACAGCUGGAGCUUUCCCUCUUGAGGUCAACAGGAGCAUGUCUGGGCCUGCAAUAACUCCCCAGAGGGUGACAGCGUAAAUGUCCUCAGCAGGGACACUGCUGCAUGAACUUUGCUUGGCUGAAUUGAUGGGACUCACAUUACAGGUUGUACUUGUCAUUUUUCUUUCUUGUGUAAGCAGCAUGAGAGCAAAACCCUGGGAUAAGUGUUGUCAUAUCAGGCAGUAUCAGAAAGCACUUACACUUAAAGAUCAUUGUGCCAAUAAAGAUUGGAAACACCAAAAACUUCAUGUGGGAAGGAAGUAUCUUUUAAAGCUGCUGCUCCAAAUAACUGGAAUCGA